rnacentral:rRNA from 1 species
AGAGUUUGAUUCUGGCUCAGGAUGAACGCUGGCGGCGUGCUUAACACAUGCAAGUCGAACGAAGCACUUAAGUUUGAUUCUUCGGAUGAAGACUUUUGUGACUGAGUGGCGGACGGGUGAGUAACGCGUGGGUAACCUGCCUCAUACAGGGGGAUAACAGUUAGAAAUGACUGCUAAUACCGCAUAAGACCACAGCACCGCAUGGUGCAGGGGUAAAAACUCCGGUGGUAUGAGAUGGACCCGCGUCUGAUUAGCUAGUUGGUGGGGUAACGGCCUACCAAGGCGACGAUCAGUAGCCGACCUGAGAGGGUGACCGGCCACAUUGGGACUGAGACACGGCCCAA